rnacentral:rRNA from 1 species
CGCUGGCGGCACGCCUAACACAUGCAAGUCGAACGCAGUAGCAAUACUGAGUGGCGAACGGGUGAGUAUGAUGUGGGUAUCUGCCUUUUGGUUUGGAAUAACACGGGGAAACUUGUGCUAAUACCGAAUAAGCCUUCACAGGGAAAGUUUUAUACGCCAAAAGAUGAGCCCGCACUUGAUUAGCUAGUUGGUAAGGUAAUGGCUUACCAAGGCUACGAUCAAUAGCUGUUCUUAGAGGAAGAUCAGCCACAUUGGGACUGAGACACGGCCCAAACUCCUACGGGAGGCAGCAGUGGGGAAUCUUGCACAAUGGGGGAAACCCUGAUGCAGCGAUGCCGCGUGAGUGAAGAAGGCCUUUGGGUUGUAAAGCUCUUUCGUCGGGGAAGAAAAUGACUGUACCCGAAUAAGAAGGUCCGGCUAACUUCGUGCCAGCAGCCGCGGUAAUACGAAGGGACCUAGCGUAGUUCGGAAUUACUGGGCUUAAAGAGCACGUAGGUGGUUAAAAAAGUUGGUGGUGAAAUCCCAAGGCUUAACCUUGGAACUGCCACCAAAACUUUUUAACUAGAGUAUGAUUGAGGCAAGCGGAAUUUCUAGUGUAGAGGUGAAAUUCGUAGAUAUUAGAAAGAACACCAAUUGCGAAGGCAGCUUUCUGGAUCAUUACUGACACUGAGGUGCGAAAGCAUGGGUAGCGAAGAGGAUUAGAUACCCUCGUAGUCCAUGCCGUAAACGAUGUGUGCUAGACGUUGGGAAUUUAUUUUUCAGUGUCGCAGCAAAAGCGUUAAGCACACCGCCUGGGGAGUACGACCGCAAGUUAGCUAAUGAUUAG